AGAGUUUGAUCAUGGCUCAGGAUAAACGCUGGCGGCGUGCCUAACACAUGCAAGUCGAACGCUCUUGGAAACAAGAGAGUGGCGGACGGGUGAGGAACACGUGGGUGAUCUACCUUUGGGUGAGGAAUACCGGCGAGAAAUCGCCGACAAGACCGCAUAAGCUCGCGGAAGCGAGGAAAGUCGAGAGACGCCGAAAGAUG
rnacentral:rRNA from 1 species